GACGAACGCUGGCGGCGUGCUUAACACAUGCAAGUCGAACGGAAAGGCCCUGCUUUUGUGGGGUGCUCGAGUGGCGAACGGGUGAGUAACACGUGAGUAACCUGCCCUUGACUUUGGGAUAACUUCAGGAAACUGGGGCUAAUACCGGAUAGGAGCUCCUGCUGCAUGGUGGGGGUUGGAAAGUUUCGGCGGUUGGGGAUGGACUCGCGGCUUAUCAGCUUGUUGGUGGGGUAGUGGCUUACCAAGGCUUUGACGGGUAGCCGGCCUGAGAGGGUGACCGGCCACAUUGGGACUGAGAUACGGCCCAGACUCCUACGGGAGGCAGCAGUGGGGAAUAUUGCACAAUGGGCGGAAGCCUGAUGCAGCAACGCCGCGUGCGGGAUGACGGCCUUCGGGUUGUAAACCGCUUUCGCCUGCGACGAAGCGUGAGUGACGGUAAUGGGUAAAGAGGCACCGGCUAACUACGUG
rnacentral:rRNA from 1 species